rnacentral:tRNA from 1 species
GCUGUCGUGGCCUAGUCGGUUAGGGCGCCAGACUCAUAGGGUUUUGAGCACAUUUCGGAGGCGCUGAUAUCUGAGAUAUCUGGAGGCCGUGGGUUCGGAUCCCACCGACAGCA